rnacentral:rRNA from 1 species
ACGAACGCUGGCGGCGUGCUUAAUACCUGCAAGUCGAACGGAAAGGCCCUGCUUUUGUGGGGUGCUCGAGUGGCGAACGGGUGAGUAACACGUGAGUAACCUGCCCUUGACUUUGGGAUAACUUCAGGAAACUGGGGCUAAUACCGGAUAGGAGCUCCUGCUGCAUGGUGGGGGUUGGAAAGUUUCGGCGGUUGGGGAUGGACUCGCGGCUUAUCAGCUUGUUGGUGGGGUAGUGGCUUACCAAGGCUUUGACGGGUAGCCGGCCUGAGAGGGUGACCGGCCACAUUGGGACUGAGAUACGGCCCAGACUCCUACGGGAGGCAGCAGUGGGGAAUAUUGCACAAUGGGCGGAAGCCUGAUGCAGCAACGCCGUGUGCGGGAUGAUGGCCUUCGGGUUGUAAACCGCUUUCGCCUGUGACGAAGCGUGAGUGACGGUAAUGGGUAAAGAAGCACCGGCUAACUACGUG